rnacentral:lncRNA from 1 species
UUGAAUGUGCUUUAGCAAAAUUGUUCUUUAUAUUGAAGUAUCAAAACGAACUAUCCAUGAGUCGGUAUUAUACACGAUUUCAACAAGCCGAUCUGUAUAUUUUUGACAAGACGAAAAGAGAUAACAGUGGAGCCAUUUUUAAAAUCACACGGCAUAACUUCUCCAGCUGCCGACAGCACAGCCUUCACACGAAGUUGGUCAUACCGUGUUGCACGUGCCACAAUCUUCUCAACAUACUCCAUGGUAGGGACAGCUCACCAGCGACCACGAAUAUUUUCUUCAAAUGUUAUCAGUAGCAAGGAAAAUUCAAACUCCGUGGCAGCGACCACGAUGCUGCCGUCCGUGACUCGGCAGGUCGACCAGAAAAAAAACCCGUCCACAAACAGCACCAACGUGUCGACCUCACCAUGAACAGACGGUUGCGUCCGCUUCGCCACCGACGACAGAACACGUAGCCCAUACGGCAACCAAUAUGAAUUUAGGCCGCAAGUCACUCGGUGACACGCAGGGAGCAGGGAUCAGGUGACAUGCACCUUUGCAUGUCAUCGUGUGACUAGCGGCCCAAAUUCAUAUUUAAACAUUGUAAAAAAAUCUGAAAAAAAUCAUGCAUGUUCAUAGCACAUAUUAAGAUAAUCCCUAAAAAAUUCAGAUCAAAAUUCAGAACAUACACCAAGAAGCAAAAAAGAGAAACUCAUAUGUGAAUAGUAUAGAGAACCAUUCGCAACUAUUCAUAACAGAUUUCUCUUUUUUGCUUCUUGAUGUAUGUUUCGAAUUUUGAUCUGAAUUUUUUACGGAUUAUCUUAAUAUGUGCUAUGAACAUGCAUGAUUUUUUUUCAAAUUUUUUACAAUGUUUAAAUAUGAAUUUAGGCCGCAAGGUGACAUGCAAAGGUGCAUGUCACCUGAUCCCUGUCACAACAGCACAACCCAAAUGAAAACAACUCAGAAAAACAGCAAACAAUCACACACGACGACAGCAGUGAUGCUGCCUACAACAAUGGUUCUGAGGUCUGCAUCAUAAACAUACGUUUGCUUCAUCGCAAACCAGAAGGAACAUCAUCACAUAUCAAGUUCGUCUUACUCCAACAACCAUAUUUCUUCUACACAGAAGAAGAUAGACCUAGCACGGCAAUUAGGAACAAACUACAACCGGAAGCAACACAUUCCACUUCCGAUCCACUAACGGCGUUGACGGGGAGGACGGCUUAGGCCCUCUCGCCACGGAUGCGGCGGGCGAG